rnacentral:rRNA from 1 species
CGUGUCCUGUAGUGGGGGAUAGCCCGGCGAAAGCCGGAUUAAUACCGCAUACGAUCUAAGGAUGAAAGCGGGGGAUCUUCGGACCUCGCGCGAUAGGGGCGGCCGAUGGCAGAUCAGCUAGUUGGUGGGGUAAAGGCCUACCAAGGCGACGAUCUGUAGCUGGUCUGAGAGGACGACCAGCCACACUGGGACUGAGACACGGCCCAGACUCCUACGGGAGGCAGCAGUGGGGAAUUUUGGACAAUGGGCGCAAGCCUGAUCC